rnacentral:rRNA from 1 species
UUAAGCGACUAAGCGUACACGGUGGAUGCCCUGGCAGUCAGAGGCGAUGAAGGACGUGCUAAUCUGCGAAAAGCGUCGGUAAGGUGAUAUGAACCGUUAUAACCGGCGAUGUCCGAAUGGGGAAACCCAGUGUGAUUCGUCACACUAUCGUUAACUGAAUACAUAGGUUAACGAGGCGAACCGGGGGAACUGAAACAUCUAAGUACCCCGAGGAAAAGAAAUCAACCGAGAUUCCCCCAGUAGCGGCGAGCGAACGGGGAGCAGCCCAGAGUCUGAAUCAGCUUGUGUGUUAGUGGAACGGUCUGGAAAGUCCGACGGUACAGGGUGAUAGUCCCGUACACCAAAAUGCACAGGUUGUGAACUCGAAGAGUAGGGCGGGACACGUGGUAUCCUGUCUGAAUAUGGGGGGACCAUCCUCCAAGGCUAAAUACUCCUGACUGACCGAUAGUGAACCAGUACCGUGAGGGAAAGGCGAAAAGAACCCCGGCGAGGGGAGUGAAAAAGAACCUGAAACCGUGUACGUACAAGCAGUGGGAGCACCUUCGGGUGUGACUGCGUACCUUUUGUAUAAUGGGUCAGCGACUUAUAUUCUGUAGCAAGGUUAACCGUAUAGGGGAGCCGCAGGGAAACCGAGUCUUAACUGGGCGUUAAGUUGCAGGGUAUAGACCCGAAACCCGGUGAUCUAGCCAUGGGCAGGUUGAAGGUUGGGUAACACUAACUGGAGGACCGAACCGACUAAUGUUGAAAAAUUAGCGGAUGACUUGUGGCUGGGGGUGAAAGGCCAAUCAAACCGGGAGAUAGCUGGUUCUCCCCGAAAGCUAUUUAGGUAGCGCCUCGUGAAUUCAUCUUCGGGGGUAGAGCACUGUUUCGGCUAGGGGGUCAUCCCGACUUACCAACCCGAUGCAAACUACGAAUACCGAAGAAUGUUAUCACGGGAGACACACGGCGGGUGCUAACGUCCGUCGUGAAGAGGGAAACAACCCAGACCGCCAGCUAAGGUCCCAAAGUCAUGGUUAAGUGGGAAACGAUGUGGGAAGGCACAGACAGCCAGGAUGUUGGCUUAGAAGCAGCCAUCAUUUAAAGAAAGCGUAAUAGCUCACUGGUCAAGUCGGCCUGCGCGGAAGAUGUAACGGGGCUAAACCAUGCACCGAAGCUGCGGCAGCGACACUAUGUGUUGUUGGGUAGGGGAGCGUUCUGUAAGCCUGCGAAGGUGACCUGUGAGGGUUGCUGGAGGUAUCAGAAGUGCGAAUGCUGACAUAAGUAACGAUAAAGCGGGUGAAAAGCCCGCUCGCCGGAAGACCAAGGGUUCCUGUCCAACGUUAAUCGGGGCAGGGUGAGUCGACCCCUAAGGCGAGGCCGAAAGGCGUAGUCGAUGGGAAACAGGUUAAUAUUCCUGUACUUGGUGUUACUGCGAAGGGGGGACGGAGAAGGCUAUGUUAGCCGGGCGACGGUUGUCCCGGUUUAAGCAUGUAGGCUGAUUGUCCAGGCAAAUCCGGAUAAUCAAGGCUGAGGUGUGAUGACGAGGCACUACGGUGCUGAAGUAACAAAUGCCCUGCUUCCAGGAAAAGCCUCUAAGCAUCAGGUAACAUCAAAUCGUACCCCAAACCGACACAGGUGGUCAGGUAGAGAAUACCAAGGCGCUUGAGAGAACUCGGGUGAAGGAACUAGGCAAAAUGGUGCCGUAACUUCGGGAGAAGGCACGCUGGUGUGUAGGUGAAGUCCCUGCGGAUGGAGCUGAGACCAGUCGAAGAUACCAGCUGGCUGCAACUGUUUAUUAAAAACACAGCACUGUGCAAACACGAAAGUGGACGUAUACGGUGUGACGCCUGCCCGGUGCCGGAAGGUUAAUUGAUGGGGUUAUCCGUAAGGAGAAGCUCUUGAUCGAAGCCCCGGUAAACGGCGGCCGUAACUAUAACGGUCCUAAGGUAGCGAAAUUCCUUGUCGGGUAAGUUCCGACCUGCACGAAUGGCGUAAUGAUGGCCAGGCUGUCUCCACCCGAGACUCAGUGAAAUUGAACUCGCUGUGAAGAUGCAGUGUACCCGCGGCAAGACGGAAAGACCCCGUGAACCUUUACUAUAGCUUGACACUGAACAUUGAGCCUUGAUGUGUAGGAUAGGUGGGAGGCUUUGAAGCGUGGACGCCAGUCUGCGUGGAGCCAACCUUGAAAUACCACCCUUUAAUGUUUGAUGUUCUAACGUUGGCCCCUGACCGGGGUUGCGGACAGUGUCUGGUGGGUAGUUUGACUGGGGCGGUCUCCUCCCAAAGCGUAACGGAGGAGCACGAAGGUUAGCUAAUCCUGGUCGGACAUCAGGAGGUUAGUGCAAUGGCAUAAGCUAGCUUGACUGCGAGCGUGACGGCGCGAGCAGGUGCGAAAGCAGGUCAUAGUGAUCCGGUGGUUCUGAAUGGAAGGGCCAUCGCUCAACGGAUAAAAGGUACUCCGGGGAUAACAGGCUGAUACCGCCCAAGAGUUCAUAUCGACGGCGGUGUUUGGCACCUCGAUGUCGGCUCAUCACAUCCUGGGGCUGAAGUAGGUCCCAAGGGUAUGGCUGUUCGCCAUUUAAAGUGGUACGCGAGCUGGGUUUAGAACGUCGUGAGACAGUUCGGUCCCUAUCUGCCGUGGGCGCUGGAGAAUUGAGGGGGGCUGCUCCUAGUACGAGAGGACCGGAGUGGACGCAUCACUGGUGUUCGGGUUGUCAUGCCAAUGGCACUGCCCGGUAGCUAAAUGCGGAAGAGAUAAGUGCUGAAAGCAUCUAAGCACGAAACUUGCCCCGAGAUGAGUUCUCCCUGAGACUUUAAGUCUCCUGAAGGAACGUUGAAGACGACGACGUUGAUAGGCCGGGUGUGUAAGCGCAGCGAUGCGUUGAGCUAACCGGUACUAAUGAACCGUGAGGCUUAACCUU